GUUUGAUUAAAAGUUCAUAUUGCAUUUCCUUAAUCUAACAAAUUGGUACUUAGAGCCCAUAUUCCUUCAAGCACUCAGAGUGGAGAUAUAUACAGGUUUGUUGAAGGAUUGUACAAAUCCUUUACUACCAUGAAGGACAAGCAAAUCGGGCACAAAGUUCCAUUGUUAAAAUGUUCCAAUGAAACUGAAGCUAAAAAGCAAGCGGGUAUAUAAUGUGGUUUGAAACUGGGGUCUUUUUUCUGCUAGUGGCAAGAAAUUCUUAUAGAAAUAAAUUCAGCUCUCCUGAAGUGUUAAAAAUCUUUGAACAUUCUUCCCAAAUUAUUAUUAUGUUGCAUUUCAAAAUAAACUUUCUCUUGCUCCGAAAGCCUGAUUCAAUUGCUUGAAAAUAAUUCCGCUGAUGUAAAAUUAGUGGGCAUAACUGAUAAUUGUUAUAUACAGCUUCAUCCAUUACCUAGCAAAACCUGUUAUGGAAGCAAGGGAGUCUAUUCAAAGACAGUGUCAAUCAUAAUGGAAGCAUUGUGGUUGCACAUUUUCUUUUUCACUACUUUUUUUCUUUUAUUUCACCUAAGUCUCUUAAUCAUCUCACAAAGGCUUAUGACAUUAUCUGCCUUUAUGAAUCAGAGAGUCCAGCUUAGAUUUUUUUUUAACCUUAUGCCUUCCAUUUUGUGGUUUCCCACCAAAUCCUGAAUAAUCUGAGGAAUCAUACAGUUUCUACCAUGGGUGUUCACAGUAAAUAGAGCUUUCAUCACUACAUGUGCUUUGUGAUGGCACAACAGAAGUGCUGCCUCCUGUGUACUUGUGUGCAGUGUCAUGUAAUAAUAAAAGGGGCAGAAUUUGCAUUGCAAAGUUGUGGUGCCCAUUUUUAUCAUUUGCUUUCCUUCCAUUCAACCUCAGGACACACCUGUGGUCAUUAUCUUUGUUUAAGAAUAUAAAACCACAUAAGGUUUGAUCAUAUAAUUCAACAAAUGGAGCUCCAUUUACUGUAAUUCCCAGUUGCCUUAGUGACAUAGUAUUCUGAACCAAAUAAUUUCAUGCAUUGUCAUGAUUAGCAGCCCUACUGCUAGAUCCUCAUAUUAAUCAACUUAACUUCCUUUUAAAAUUGAUUAAAGUGGUGGCUGUUCUUACAGUAUUAACUUUUGCUGGAUGUUGUCAAUGGACUAAAUGCCAUUACAGGCCAGAGAAAGAAGAUAUUUCUGCAAAAAUUUGGACAACUGAACAACUGCCCUUUUUUUUCCUGUUAAAGAAUUUUAACAUAAAGUAUCUUCUGAAGCCUAAUAUGGCCUUAUAAAAGUACUGUUUUGUUUUGCAGUACCAUAUAGAAAAAUACUUCUUUUUCUGUA